UUAAGUAGACCGCCUGGGGAGUACGGCCGCAAGGUUAAAACUCAAAUGAAUUGACGGGGGCCCGCACAAGCGGUGGAGCAUGUGGUUUAAUUCGAUGCAACGCGAAGAACCUUACCUGGUCUUGACAUCCACAGAAGAAUCCAGAGAUGGAUUUGUGCCUUCGGGAACUGUGAGACAGGUGCUGCAUGGCUGUCGUCAGCUCGUGUUGUGAAAUGUUGGGUUAAGUCCCGCAACGAGCGCAACCCUUAUCCUUUGUUGCCAGCGGUCCGGCCGGGAACUCAAAGGAGACUGCCAGUGAUAAACUGGAGGAAGGUGGGGAUGACGUCAAGUCAUCAUGGCCCUUACGACCAGGGCUACACACGUGCUACAAUGGCGCAUACAAAGAGAAGCGACCUCGCGAGAGCAAGCGGACCUCAUAAAGUGCGUCGUAGUCCGGAUUGGAGUCUGCAACUCGACUCCAUGAAGUCGGAAUCGCUAGUAAUCGUGGAUCAGAAUGCCACGGUGAAUACGUUCCCGGGCCUUGUACACACCGCCCGUCACACCAUGGGAGUGGGUUGCAAAAGAAGUAGGUAGCUUAACCUUCGGGAGGGCGCUUACCACUUUGUGAUUCAUGACUGGGGUGAAGUCGUAACAAGGUAACCGUAGGGGAACCUGCGGUUGGAUCACCUCCUUACCUUAAAGAA
rnacentral:rRNA from 2 species